rnacentral:rRNA from 1 species
ACUCCUACGGGAGGCAGCUGCCAACCGCGAGACCCAGGCCAUUUCCUCAGGGGUGGCGCACGUGGUCAACAAGAUCCUGGAGGACAACGUCCAGAGCGGCACCGGGACGUCGGCGCAGAUCGACGGCAGGGCGGUCGCCGGCAAGACCGGCACCGCGGAGGACUUCCAUGACGCCUGGUUCUGCGGCUACAUCCCGCAACUCUCCUGCGCAGUCUGGGUAGGCCACCCUGAAGAGCAGAUCCCCAUGACCAACGUUCACGGCAGGAGCGUCACCGGCGGCAGCUUCCCCGCCGAGAUAUGGCAGAAAUUCAUGAGCCAGGCCGCUCAGGACUACCCUGUGGUCACCUUUGACGACUUCGCAUACGAGCCGGUGGAAUGGAACUGGGAUUUCGAGAGCACACACGCCGUGGAGACCACCACCACCUCCAGCAGCACGACGUCCACUUCCUCCACCACGCUGCCUCCCGUAGGAGU